AGACACAAUAUGAAUCUCUGUAGAAGUUCUCUGGGAAUUAAUAGAUAUUCAGAGUAAAUAUUUGCUGGCUUGAUAGUUUGGUAAUUUACUUAUGUGAUGUGAAAAUGCAUCCAGUAGAUCUGUACCAAAAUAAAUCACGAAAGGACUUCUCAGAGAUUUCUGAUGCUAAUGACAUUUGACUAACUCUGAGGUAGAUUCUAAUCAGCAAUUAAAAGGUUAAAUGUUUUAUGUCAUCCUUCUAAGCUAUUUAUUCUCCAAUUUUUCAAAGUCAAUUGUGAUUCAUGUGAAAGAGACCUGUUGUCCCUGCCUGGUUAAGAUUCAUGUCAAUAAUAUUCAAGUUACUUCAUGACCUUGUUCACUGCUGAUCCUAUGUCACAUCAAAAUUUCGGCAGGAGAUCAAUGUCAAGUACAUUUUCACCUUGCCAACCAGCUUUAUUUGCUUUAUUUAGUCUCUGAUCUGCUGUCUACACUUCCUGAUAUUUGUAAUCAUCUCUGUGGAACUUUUUUUUUUUUCUUCUCUGCAACUUCUAUAUCUUUAGGAACAUUCUACCACUGGUGCAUUGAAAGACCUUGUCACAAGCAAAGGUGCACCAUCAAAAGUUGAUUUCAUUGCUUUGAUGUAUUCAAAACUUGACAUAAAUGAAAUAGCCCUGAGAAAUCUGAAGGCUUUACAAGCUGAUAAGCUUGUAUUUGGGGAUUAACUUUCAGAGAAACUGAGAAAAUGCAGAAUUACAUAUAGUAGGCUUGAUCUAAAGACUUGCAAAAUUAGUGCAAAUAAUUCUGCGUCUUGGGUGAACAGUAUGAAAGUAAGAGAGGACAGAAGACCUCUCCUCAGUAAGAGAGGAUGGAAGAGCAACCCAAGUAAACAACAACAACAAAAAGUUUCAUGCUGGCAUUUCAUUCAAAAUAUCUAUCUUUGUUCGGAGUAUUUUAUUAAUAAUAUCAGAAGCCAUUUCUCUUCAACAUUUUUUCCCUCUGUUUUCACAUUUACUCAGUGAUAUCAGUGAAAUGUUGUAAUGUUAUGGAAAAAACGGACAGUCAAAUAUUUAGAGAUUUGGAACUGAAUAUUAUUCAUUCAUACUAUUAUGAAUUACACACCAAAUCUGGAAGUCCAUAUUAAGCAAAAAGUCCCAUGGUUUCAAGGAUUGCCUGGACUGUGUGAAAGAAGUGAGAAAGAAGGCUUGAUUUUCUCAGUGAUAAUGGUAUCACCAGGAGAAGGUGGGAAAGGACAAAGUUCUUCCUCAGACUACUUUGAGAAGAGUCCAUAAAAGGAUGACUGCUUUACCGAACCAUAAGGACUGAUUGUUGUACCAACAUGAACAUAGAUUUGCAAAGACGUGAGGAACAGUGCUGGCAUAGCUUUAUUUAACAUCUGUCCUUCCAUGGAAUGAGUACAAAGAGAAUGAAGCUAUAUGCCUGAAGCUUUGUCUUCAAGAGUGCUUUAUGUGGACAGUUGUGCCAGGAGUACACACACAAAAAAAAAGGCUGAACUUUGAGUGGCACUACAUCAAAAUUCUCCUUACUGCUCACAGUGCCUCCCAAGAACAGCUCAAGCCCGUGUGAAAAAACUAGUGUUUGAUCACAACAAUUUUAGAGUAAAUUACAGACUUGUCAUAAAAAUGAGAAUUGUAAUUAUAUCUACAAGUAUAUACCUCAACUUUAAACAGAGCUAACCAAUAUUUAUAAUUAUCCUAUAAAUUAAGAAAAACUAUACUCUGGAGUAUAAUGAAAGAAACAAAACAAAUUAUAAUGAAGAUAUCUUAAUAACAUACCAAGCUUUAUUGUUCAAGCAAAGGCAAAAUAUCAGUGAAUUUCAGAUUGCG
rnacentral:lncRNA from 1 species